rnacentral:rRNA from 1 species
UUAAGCGACUAAGCGUACACGGUGGAUGCCCUGGCAGUCAGAGGCGAUGAAGGACGUGCUAAUCUGCGAAAAGCGUCGGUAAGGUGAUAUGAACCGUUAUAGCCGGCGAUGUCCGAAUGGGGAAACCCAGUGUGAUUCGUCACACUAUCGUUAACUGAAUACAUAGGUUAACGAGGCGAACCGGGGGAACUGAAACAUCUAAGUACCCCGAGGAAAAGAAAUCAACCGAGAUUCCCCCAGUAGCGGCGAGCGAACGGGGAGCAGCCCAGAGUCUGAAUCAGCUUGUGUGUUAGUGGAACGGUCUGGAAAGUCCGACGGUACAGGGUGAUAGUCCCGUACACCAAAAUGCACAGGCUGUGAACUCGAAGAGUAGGGCGGGACACGUGGUAUCCUGUCUGAAUAUGGGGGGACCAUCCUCCAAGGCUAAAUACUCCUGACUGACCGAUAGUGAACCAGUACCGUGAGGGAAAGGCGAAAAGAACCCCGGCGAGGGGAGUGAAAAAGAACCUGAAACCGUGUACGUACAAGCAGUGGGAGCACCUUCGGGUGUGACUGCGUACCUUUUGUAUAAUGGGUCAGCGACUUAUAUUCUGUAGCAAGGUUAACCGUAUAGGGGAGCCGCAGGGAAACCGAGUCUUAACUGGGCGUUAAGUUGCAGGGUAUAGACCCGAAACCCGGUGAUCUAGCCAUGGGCAGGUUGAAGGUUGGGUAACACUAUCUGGAGGACCGAACCGACUAAUGUUGAAAAAUUAGCGGAUGACUUGUGGCUGGGGGUGAAAGGCCAAUCAAACCGGGAGAUAGCUGGUUCUCCCCGAAAGCUAUUUAGGUAGCGCCUCGUGAAUUCAUCUUCGGGGGUAGAGCACUGUUUCGGCUAGGGGGUCAUCCCGACUUACCAACCCGAUGCAAACUACGAAUACCGAAGAAUGUUAUCACGGGAGACACACGGCGGGUGCUAACGUCCGUCGUGAAGAGGGAAACAACCCAGACCGCCAGCUAAGGUCCCAAAGUCAUGGUUAAGUGGGAAACGAUGUGGGAAGGCACAGACAGCCAGGAUGUUGGCUUAGAAGCAGCCAUCAUUUAAAGAAAGCGUAAUAGCUCACUGGUCGAGUCGGCCUGCGCGGAAGAUGUAACGGGGCUAAACCAUGCACCGAAGCUGCGGCAGCGACACUAUGUGUUGUUGGGUAGGGGAGCGUUCUGUAAGCCUGCGAAGGUGUGCUGUGAGGCAUGCUGGAGGUAUCAGAAGUGCGAAUGCUGACAUAAGUAACGAUAAAGCGGGUGAAAAGCCCGCUCGCCGGAAGACCAAGGGUUCCUGUCCAACGUUAAUCGGGGCAGGGUGAGUCGACCCCUAAGGCGAGGCCGAAAGGCGUAGUCGAUGGGAAACAGGUUAAUAUUCCUGUACUUGGUGUUACUGCGAAGGGGGGACGGAGAAGGCUAUGUUAGCCGGGCGACGGUUGUCCCGGUUUAAGCAUGUAGGCUGGUUAUCCAGGCAAAUCCGGAUAAUCAAGGCUGAGGUGUGAUGACGAGGCACUACGGUGCUGAAGUAACAAAUGCCCUGCUUCCAGGAAAAGCCUCUAAGCAUCAGGUAACAUCAAAUCGUACCCCAAACCGACACAGGUGGUCAGGUAGAGAAUACCAAGGCGCUUGAGAGAACUCGGGUGAAGGAACUAGGCAAAAUGGUGCCGUAACUUCGGGAGAAGGCACGCUGGUGUGUAGGUGAAGUCCCUGCGGAUGGAGCUGAGACCAGUCGAAGAUACCAGCUGGCUGCAACUGUUUAUUAAAAACACAGCACUGUGCAAACACGAAAGUGGACGUAUACGGUGUGACGCCUGCCCGGUGCCGGAAGGUUAAUUGAUGGGGUUAUCCGUAAGGAGAAGCUCUUGAUCGAAGCCCCGGUAAACGGCGGCCGUAACUAUAACGGUCCUAAGGUAGCGAAAUUCCUUGUCGGGUAAGUUCCGACCUGCACGAAUGGCGUAAUGAUGGCCAGGCUGUCUCCACCCGAGACUCAGUGAAAUUGAACUCGCUGUGAAGAUGCAGUGUACCCGCGGCAAGACGGAAAGACCCCGUGAACCUUUACUAUAGCUUGACACUGAACAUUGAGCCUUGAUGUGUAGGAUAGGUGGGAGGCUUUGAAGCGUGGACGCCAGUCUGCGUGGAGCCAACCUUGAAAUACCACCCUUUAAUGUUUGAUGUUCUAACGUUGGCCCCUUACCGGGGUUGCGGACAGUGUCUGGUGGGUAGUUUGACUGGGGCGGUCUCCUCCCAAAGCGUAACGGAGGAGCACGAAGGUUAGCUAAUCCUGGUCGGACAUCAGGAGGUUAGUGCAAUGGCAUAAGCUAGCUUGACUGCGAGCGUGACGGCGCGAGCAGGUGCGAAAGCAGGUCAUAGUGAUCCGGUGGUUUCUGAAUGGAAGGGCCAUCGCUCAACGGAUAAAAGGUACUCCGGGGAUAACAGGCUGAUACCGCCCAAGAGUUCAUAUCGACGGCGGUGUUUGGCACCUCGAUGUCGGCUCAUCACAUCCUGGGGCUGAAGUAGGUCCCAAGGGUAUGGCUGUUCGCCAUUUAAAGUGGUACGCGAGCUGGGUUUAGAACGUCGUGAGACAGUUCGGUCCCUAUCUGCCGUGGGCGCUGGAGAAUUGAGGGGGGCUGCUCCUAGUACGAGAGGACCGGAGUGGACGCAUCACUGGUGUUCGGGUUGUCAUGCCAAUGGCACUGCCCGGUAGCUAAAUGCGGAAGAGAUAAGUGCUGAAAGCAUCUAAGCACGAAACUUGCCCCGAGAUGAGUUCUCCCUGAGACUUUAAGUCUCCUGAAGGAACGUUGAAGACGACGACGUUGAUAGGCCGGGUGUGUAAGCGCAGCGAUGCGUUGAGCUAACCGGUACUAAUGAACCGUGAGGCUUAACCUU